AGAAUAUUCAGCCCCACCCCAUGACUUCCAGAGACAGAGGAAAGGCUGAAGGUUGAGUUGAUUACCAGUAGCUCACGAUAUAAUCAUUCAUGCCUACAUAACACAGCUUUCAUAAGAACCCAAUAGGACAGGGUUCAAGGACCCUCUAAAGAAUGCCACACCUAUAGAGGCAUGGAAACUCUUUGCCACUUUCAUCUGACUAUUGAUCUAUAUCCUUUGUAAUGCCUCUUAUAAGAAAUGGGCAGAUUCUAGCAGUGUUUGUGAGAAAAACUGAUGGAUCCUGCAGAUUAACUAUGGACAGCCAAAUAUUGAGUAAAGUGAUGUCUACAACAGCAUCAGCUAUGCCUGAUAUGGUGUUAAUUCACAUUGUGAAGUUCCAAAAUCAGAAGAUGAUACAGAAAGAUUGCUCUGGUUGCCUGGUUUCUGAAGAAAUCGUGUACCCUGUCUGGAUAGUGUCUUACUUCCUAUCCACAAAGUUGUGAAAUAAUCUGGAAUUAAAUGGCAACCUAAACAACCCUAGAGUUGCCUGAACACAGAGCCAUUGCUGUGUUGAUCAUUAUAGCAGUCCUCAAUAGGAAAAAGAUGCCUCCCUGGUCGACCUUCCUGGAAAGUAUGCAUAUCAUUACUGCUUAGAUUUUGUUGGAGAGAAAUCACACUACCAUCAAAGACAACGGGUCAAAAAGAAUGCCGUCCUAAGCUGAGAAGCCAUCUUCCUAACGACAGCCAUGUAAUAUGAAAGGGAAAAACACACUGUUAUUGAAGAACUUAUCAGCUAUGUCACAUCUUCCACACAAAUACUCAGGAAAGUUAAAAGAAAAUUUUACCUCGGACACAGUUGAUGUACCUCAGUCUUGUACAAAACUUAGAACUCACUAAGUCUGAAAUAAGACUUUAAACUCUCUCUGAGGUGAAGUUGUAAUACAGUGAGAAUGAUAAUAUAUAGUAUAUUAGGAUUUACUUACUCCUGUGUUGUUCUGGACUAUAGACUGCCACACAUAUCAGAUGCACAUGACUGACAUGUAUAUCUUCAUUUUGCUAUUAUUUGUGGUGAACUAAUACAGGAUUUACUGUAAAAGUAUAAUAAUGCAGUAGCAAUAUACUAAUAAAUCAAUGCAGUUAAUAUACAAGUGCUGCUUAUAAGUUA
ensembl:lncRNA LINC02109 long intergenic non-protein coding RNA 2109